ensembl:snRNA U6 U6 spliceosomal RNA
GUGCUCGCUUCUGCAGCACAUAUACUAAAAUUGGAACGAUACAGAGAAGAUUAGCAUGCCCCUGUGCA